rnacentral:tRNA from 1 species
GUUUGAGGCUCAGUGGUAGAGUUCAAGCUUAGUAUGCACGAGACCCUAGAUUCAAUCCCCAGCACCACA